UCCCGUCUCCCUCUUUUCUCCCCCACCACACAACAACAUUCUUCUCUCUCUCCCGUGUACACACAAGCUCGAUAUCAGCUCCGUUCUCCCUUAUGACGCAGCAGCAGUGACAACUCUCUCGUCUCUCGCUUAAAGCAUCUAGUUGGCUCCCUGGGCUCCGAUCUCCCUCACUCUCUCAGCUCCGGUCUACCUCACUCUUUCGGUUUCGAUCUUCCUCACUCUCUCGGCUCCGUUGUCUCUCAUUCUCUCGAUCUCAACUGCAUCGCUCUCUAUCCCCCAACACAAUUGGCUUAAUUGACUAAAGAUUAAUUUGUAAUUAAAGAUGUAGACUGAUUAAUUGUUAAAGAUUAAUUAAUAUGUUUUUGAGGCCUCAUAGAUUUUGAAUGAUUAUUAUUCUUGGUAAGGAUAUUGUGGUCUUCAAAUUAUUUUACAAACCAUAUAUUAAUUUGGCGAUUAAUGGUUAUCGUUCUUGAAUUUUGUUCUUACAUGAGGGACCUUCUUAGUUUGGUUUGAUUGGGUUCUUCAAAAUUUCUUAUGAUUGCCAAGGACUGCAGCAAUUAUUCCUCUGAAUGGGAAGCUUUGUAUCAUUCGUAACAUCAUGAGCAUU
rnacentral:lncRNA from 1 species